ACUAACAACUUUUAGUCUCCCGUAGCCAGACCCCUUUCCGUUGCGUUGUACUUCCGGUGUGCCAGCGGAUUUGUUCGGCCGCGGAUUUGUUCCGGUUGACCAAUUGCGCAAGCGCAGUAACUAAAAGGUGUGCAAUACGCUUGCGCACAUCUUGUCCCUCGGAUCUCCAGACGCUGUUUUAUGUUGUCUUCUUCCGCGGAUUUGUUCCGGGGCGGGGUAGAAUUGCCGACACCUAGAAAUUGUUUAGCGCAUGCGUGGUACAUGUCACACCUUUAUUUUUGUUCCUUUGGCCAUGUUAUAGCUUGUACAGGCUUCAGAGGCUUCUUUGUAGUUUACGCAACCUGCAGCUGUGAACUGUCGCGAUCGGUGGCUUGUACUCUCCGAUCACUAGAUAAUUAAUUCACUAGAUAAUUAUCUAGUGUGAAUAGACGUACGACAGGCUACGACAGUGAAAGGCUUGUGGAGACGGAUGACAUUACUAUGAUGUGGGAUACCACCAUCUCCACUGCAAGGAAGAUCAAAGCCAAUCGUCCAGACAUCUGUCUCAGAAAUAAGAAGACAAACACUUGUCGUCUUAUUGAUAUCAGCUGUCUUGCUGAUGGCAACAUUGGCAAGAAACAUGCUGAGAAGUUGGCGAAGUACAGCGACUUGCGAGUGGAGAUAAGCCGCGUGUGGCAUUGUCGAACACUGGUGGUUCCGGCGGUCUUGGGAGCUUUGGGCACAGUGCACGCAGGUAUUGCACGGUGGCUGGACAUUAUUCCAAGUCAUCACAACCUGCAGCACUUACAGAAAACAGUGCUUCUGGGAUCUACUCGGAUCCUUCGUAAAGUCAUGUCUUCUUUCUAGACAGCCGUGAUGGUCUAAGUACUUCUGAAGCAGGGUUUGCUUCCGGUACUUGUAAUAGACUUUACAAACCAGACUGAUCUGGUUGAGCACGACACAUAAUAAUAAUAACGUUUUGCUUGUUUUCCUAAUCGGUACAAGAGUAUUGGAUGCAUUACGACCGUGUUACCUGCUGUUUUGGCUAGUGCAGGUUCCUGCAAGAAAAAUUAAGGGUGUGGUCAAGAAAUUACAAGAAAUUUGUUUCGUUCAAUAUACGUAUUGUUUUAGCCAAUGGUUACAAGGAGAGUCUAUUUGCUUGCUGUAGAAAGUACAUACAGAAGCAAACUGUCGUCUGUUCGUCUUUGCGCAUGCAGCAGGGUGUUUACACCUCAAGAUCUUGAAAGAUCCUGGAAGACCACCGCAGCUGCCAAGAUCUUGGUUUGGUUUUGUAAUAUAUGUAGACGGUAGAAGGUAGUUUUAGUUUGUAUUCUUGUACUGACUUAUUUCUAGGUUUUUUGUGAUUUAGCUCACUUGGUCGACACAAGUUGUUCCGCAAUUUCGUGCCACGUAGAACCCAAGAUCUCUGUCAACUUUACUGAAAUUUACUCUUGAGUUAACAGAUGCCAUCAAGAAAUGCUCAAGGUCUAAGAACAGCAAGAUAUUUCAAGUUCUUACCAAGAAUGUAUACAAGCAUUGAUUUAUACUUUUCAAACUGUAACGGCUAUGGCCUAUAUAUUCUACCUAUGUGUAGUGAAAACAAAUGUAUGAUGUAUAGACUUACAUGCUGUUGCUCAUGUAGAUAGUCUGGCAUUUUUACUGUUCUAAAAAUUUUAUAGCACGUAUAUAUUGCAGCUAGAUACUACUAGUGAAUUUGUAGCAUUAUAUUAUUAAUAUCAAGUAUCCUACCUUUU